UGCCAAGCAGAAUUUCAAAACUGGAAUUACUCAAAUAGAGCAAGUUCCUCAAUCUGCAAGGCUAGAAAAACGCCAGGUUUGCUUUCAUCACUGUAAACCCCAUUGCAGAGAUGACAAUGAGGCCUGGAAUAUUC
rnacentral:snoRNA from 1 species